AGCAGCCGCGGUAAUUCCAGCUCCAAUAGCGUAUAUUAAAGUUGUUGCAGUUAAAAGCUCGUAGUUGAAUUUCGGGAUUGGCGCAUCGGUCGUGCCUCACGGGGUAUGAACUGGUGCAGUCAAUUUCUCACCUUCUGGAGAACCGCGAUGUCCUUAAUUGGAUGCCGCGGGGAACCAGGACCUUUACUUUGAAAAAAUUGAGUGUUUAAAGCAGGCAUUUUUGCUUGAAUACAUUAGCAUGGAAUAAUAAAUAGGACGGCAUGGUUCUAUUUGUUGGUUUCUAGGACCACCGUAAUGAUUAAUAGGGAUAGUUGGGGGCAUUAGUAUUCAAUUGUCAGAGGUGAAAUUCUUGGAUUUAUUGAAGACUAACUACUGCGAAAGCAUUUGCCAAGGAUGUUUUCAUUAAUCAAGACGAAAGUUAGGGAUCGAAGACGAUCAGAUACCGUCGUAGUCUUAACCAUAAACCUAUGCCGACUAGGAAUCAGACGAUGUUAUUUUUAANGUACUCGUUUUGGCACCU
rnacentral:rRNA from 1 species